UUUAGUGGCGCACGGGUGCGUAACGCGUAUGCAACCUACCUUUAUUGGGGGAUAGCCCGAAGAAAUUCGGAUUAAUACCGCAUAAUAUCAUUUGAGGGCAUCUGAGGAUGAUUAAAGCUACGGCGAUAAAAGAUGGGCAUGCGUGUCAUUAGCUAGUUGGUGAGGUAACGGCUCACCAAGGCGACGAUGACUAGGGGUUCUGAGAGGAUGAUCCCCCACACUGGUACUGAGAUACGGACCAG
rnacentral:rRNA from 1 species